UACGAAGGGGGCUAGCGUUGUUCGGAAUCACUGGGCGUAAAGGGCGCGUAGGCGGCUUUAUAAGUCGGGGGUGAAAGCCUGUGGCUCAACCACAGAAUUGCCUUCGAUACUGUAGAGCUUGAGACCGGAAGAGGUAAGUGGAACUGACGAGUGUAGAGGUGAAAUUCGUAGAUAUUCGCAAGAACACCAGUGGCGGAAGGCGGACUCACUGGCCCCGUUACUGACGCUGAGGCA
rnacentral:rRNA from 1 species